AUCGCAUGGUCUUCUGGGAAAGCUUUCGCGGUAUGGGAUGGGGUCGCGUCCUAUCAGCUUGAUGGCGGGGUAACGGCCCACCGUGGCUUCGACGGGUAGCCGGCCUGAGAGGGCGACCGGCCACAUUGGGACUGAGAUACGGCCCAGACUCCUACGGGAGGCAGCAGUGGGGAAUAUUGCACAAUGGGCGCAAGCCUGAUGCAGCGACGCCGCGUGAGGGAUGGAGGCCUUCGGGUUGUAAACCUCUUUUAUCGGGGAGCAAGCGAGAGUGAGUUUACCCGUUGAAUAAGCACCGGCUAACUACGUGCCAGCAGCCGCGGUAAUACGUAGGGUGCAAGCGUUAUCCGGAAUUAUUGGGCGUAAAGGGCUCGUAGGCGGUUCGUCGCGUCCGGUGUGAAAGUCCAUCGCUUAACGGUGGAUCCGCGCCGGGUACGGGCGGGCUUGAGUGCGGUAGGGGAGACUGGAAUUCCCGGUGUAACGGUGGAAUGUGUAGAUAUCGGGAAGAACACCAAUGGCGAAGGCAGGUCUCUGGGCCGUCACUGACGCUGAGGAGCGAAAGCGUGGGGAGCGAACAGGAUUAGAUACCCUGGUAGUCCACGCCGUAAACGGUGGAUGCUGGAUGUGGGGACCAUUCCACGGUCUCCGUGUCGGAGCCAACGCGUUAAGCAUCCCGCCUGGGGAGUACGGCCGCAAGGCUAAAACUCAAAGAAAUUGACGGGGGCCCGCACAAGCGGCGGAGCAUGCGGAUUAAUUCGAUGCAACGCGAAGAACCUUACCUGGGCUUGACAUGUUCCCGA
rnacentral:rRNA from 1 species